rnacentral:rRNA from 1 species
AGAGUUUGAUCAUGGCUCAGAAUCAACGCUGGCGGCGCGCCUAACACAUGCAAGUCGAACGAGAAAGUGGAGCAAUCCAUGAGUAAAGUGGCGUACGGGUGAGUAACACGUGGGUGAUCUACCUCUUAGUGAGGAAUAACCCUGGGAAACCGGGGCUAAUACCGCAUAAGCCUUAGCAGGGAAAGUCGAAAGACGCUGAGAGAGGAGCCCGCGGCCGAUUAGCUAGUUGGUGAGGUAAGAGCCCACCAAGGCAGAGAUCGGUAGCCGGCCUGAGAGGGCACACGGCCACACUGGCACUGAAACACGGGCCAGACUCCUACGGGAGGCAGCAGUGGGGAAUCUUGCACAAUGGGGGAAACCCUGAUGCAGCGACGCCGCGUGAGCGAUGAAGCCCUUCGGGGUGUAAAGCUCUUUCGUCAGGGAAGAUAGUGACGGUACCUGGAGAAGCAGCUGCGGCUAACUACGUGCCAGCAGCCGCGGUAAUACGUAGGCAGCAAGCGUUGUUCGGAGUUACUGGGCGUAAAGGGUGUGUAGGCGGUUCUUUAAGUUUGGUGUGAAAUCUCCCGGCUCAACCGGGAGGGUGCGCCGAAUACUGAGGGACUCGAGUGCGGGAGAGGAAAGUGGAAUUCCUGGUGUAGCGGUGAAAUGCGUAGAUAUCAGGAGGAACACCGGUGGUGUAGACGGCUUUCUGGACCGUAACUGACGCUGAGACACGAAAGCGUGGGUAGCAAACAGGAUUAGAUACCCUGGUAGUCC